rnacentral:tRNA from 1 species
GGGCCGCUGGCGCGGACAGACCCUGGCGGCCGUCGCCGCCGCGGAACAGGACGGGGUCUCCGCCUGGCUGUCCGACCCGACGGCGGCCCC